rnacentral:lncRNA from 1 species
CUCAAAGAGGGUGCAUGAUGCAGCCCCGCACUGGAGCAGGAGCCGAGCAAGAUACGUGCAGUGUGGCGGGCAGUAUUGGCCAAGAUCGGGCCUGAAGUGAACUUUGUGGCUUGAAGAUUCCCGAGCAGCAGCAGUCCUUUUUGAGAAGUGGGAUAAUUUGUUUUUGGCAAUACACUGUUUCUUUUUUCCGCGGGUGAGAAGAAAAAAAAAGUGUGGGAAAAAGCUUUGGAAAUCUUGCAAGACCUCUUGGACAUAGACUAUGUGUUACAAAACAUAUUUUUGACGAGUUAAGUGUUAACCAACCAAAAACAGACAGAUUGUCCUUCCCAUGUUAGCUUCAAAAUGCAGCAGGGGAAGCGACCAUUACUGAACACCCUGUGAAGUUGCCGAACCCUGUCAUUUUCAAAAGCUUGUCAAAAAGCCCAGAGCACAGAGGCCAGAACGGAGUUACUUGUCCCUUUCUGCAGGAUGUGAGUGCAGCCUUCUGGGUGAGCGAGCCGGAGAGAAGAAGAAAGAAAGAAAGAAAAAAGAACAAUACCAAAUCAAAGGACUCCAACUGUCAGUGAAGGGUGGUCCAGAAUAAAACUUUCAAAGGAGAAAAAGAUUCAUUUUAAACCAUAAUGAAUUCUCUUUGUCAUUGAAAAUUCAUCUAAAGACAUAUUCCAUGACUACUUUUGACAGGCAAUGAUCUGAAUAUGUGAUGUGCAGAGACAUUAUUUCUUGUCCUCCAAAAGCUCUUAAGGACUUCGGGAAGAAAUGGAUCUGUCACAGUCUACCUACGAAGGAAGUCAAGGCAGGAAUUCAAUACAAGCCUGCCUGCUGUUCCACACAGCAUUGCCUCUGGCCAAAGAACUCACCUG